UUGGCCAAUCACCGGACCACACACACAGG
rnacentral:piRNA from 1 species